AGUCUUCUCGCUGCGAUUGCCGCUGAAGGACGCGAGUGCAGUGAUCCGUUGUCCAGCUGGGAUUCGGGACGGCAUCUGAAGGUGAGAAGGAAGGAGCUGGGUACGGUGCGAGCGCUACGUGGCAAAGCAGAGCAAUCUCCACCCCAGAGCACCGGCGCCCACCUUAAGGGAUGCCGACAGCGGGCUUGGAGCUGGAUGGGGAGGAGAUGAGUUCUGCUCCUGAUCCGCCCUUUUGUCGCUAUCAGGAGAGGUGGGACAGAAACCCCCAAAGUAACCUAUAUGGGUCUAAAAGGAAGGCGGGGGCUAGAGCGGAAUGCUGCCGGCAGUAGUGGGAGCCCGGGGAUGGGGAGCAGCGGCGCCUCCCGGGGAGACGCUGGCACGGCCCCUGGGCGACGUCGUCUGAAGGUCAGGAAGGACGCCGGGGCUGCACCUGGCACCGCGCGGAAAGGCAUGCAGAUCCAGCAGGCAUGACAGGCGAGUCAGUCCCGCCCGGGGCAGCGAUGCCGAUCGUCGGGGCUCCGCAAUCUGCUAAGCUUUCAGAUGCCAGCUGCAGAUGCGGGAGUGCAUGUUUCUUUCUACACGGAGAGCAGUGUCUACCACCUGGGUCUUCCUCAGUGCCCCAUGCCUGUCAGUUUUUCAAAGGCAUUUGGAUAAUGCACUUUAUAACAUGUUUUAAUUUAUUAUCAUCCUGAAGUGAUCAGACAAUUGGACUAGAUUGUCUUUUUAGGUCCCUUCCCCUAAACUGUUUGGUUCUGUUCUGUAGCCUCCCAGAAAACCACUUUUGCAGCUGACACUAAUGUUAGUCUAAGAACUAACCUGGGUAAGCCUGUGCUACACUUUUUCUAACAAAUUUCAGAGAGGAAAAAACAAUACCAAAACAAGGUAGAAAACCCUCUUGCUUUAUACCUUAACUCACCCCCUGAAAUAACCAUUCAAAAGGCAUAAAGCAGUAUUUUUUAUGCUUUUUCAUACAUAACAUAGGAGUGUGUCAGCAUAGAUUACUGUUCUCAAGAAAUGAACCUGGGAGCCUGCUGGAGCUGUGUGCUGGGUUUCUGUGCUAUCAGCACAGUGUUUCCAGAUUUGUGGUGCCUCCCCAAGUGUCUAUAUGACUUUGAGCAGGGUUUAUAGUCUGGGUCUGUCAUAUCACACCCCACAUUCCUUUUUCAUCCUAUGAUUGCUCUUAGAGAGAAGGACAGUGUCCCCACCCCAGACUACCAAACCUCUGUACGCAUACCUUGCUCUUGUGUCCCAGGGUCUGGGAAGAAACAAUUCAAAUACUCUGAUACAGAAGGAUCAGAAAAGUGUGAGCUAAUAGUUAGAACACCCAGUUGCCUAAAAUCAGCUUUCUCCUUCCUAUUUUGGGAAUCCUAGACCAUGCUACAUCAAGGAACUCCUGCAGCAGCCGAGGGCCAGCAUAGCCAAGGGGGGUUUUUGAGAAAUGUCAUUGUUCCUGUUUAUAGGUCCCUUACAAGCUUUGCAAUAGCGAAUGUCCUCCCUUCUGUGCAGAGAAGAGUGAUGUCAUCCACAGGGAUUUCAGAAGCCAGACAAAACAAUAGGGACAUCCAGAAGUCCCUGAGAGAUCCUUGAGCUUCUUGUUGCGCUGUUUAGAGCUGCUCUUCUGUUUCCAGAGCCAGCUGACUCUCCAAGGGUCAUGUACCUGUGGUUCUGUUUCCAAACUGCACCCACCUUUUCCAGAUUACACAGCUGACACAGAAAAUCAUGAUACAUGAGAGGGUGAAACAUAGCUCUUAACACUGACUACCUCACAGUUCCCUUCUCUUCAGGAGACCAAGACACAUCAUCAUGAAAUCACAAACUCCACUGAGAUGCUCUGAAUCCUAACUUUUGCAUCUCUACCCUUCCUCAAACAAGGUAGAGCAGCAGAUUCCAUGUAACUCCCACAGGAUGUACCUUCCAGAAGAAAAUCCAAUCACUUCUGAGCCUGAUUUGGGUACCUCCUGUCCAGGUGAUACCCUGACUUUUUGGUCAGGAAAGUUCCCACCAGUACACUCCUCACCACAUGAGGAUCAGGCACAGAGGCAGGAAAGGACACAGUCAAAAGAGAUGAUGUAGUCUAUAGAUCUGUGUCUAUUCCUGGUCUCGGAAAGGCUUCUUGAGAAGGCUUUUACCUUGGAGGCAGAGCCUUUACUCAAUUUUCCAUGAAACCCAGCUGGAAAGAUAGACUCAUGGGGAUCUGCUGGGUGAUUUACCUGCCAUACAUGAUGUCUGCUACAAGAGAAAUAACUGCUCCUGCAGCCAUGGUAAUGAUAUGAGCAAUGCCACAUGCAUUUUCUUUCUGAUGGCAUACAACAAUAUCCUAGCUUCAUAAAAAUUUAUGAGUAUGAAUCUAGCAGUAAUGCAAUUUUAUAACAUUUACUGGACAGUAACAAAUCUCAGAAACAGUAGUGUUUUCUCAAUAGAGUGAAAGAUAGAGACUGGUAUCUGUGAAUGGGAUCUAUCACAGCACCAUGGACAGAGGAGAACAGCCAAACGUGCCCUGACAUCUCCAAAAUUUCCCCAAAUACCAAAGCCAGUUCGUGGUCUGGUUUGCAGUUGACGUAUGCCUGCUCCUGAUUGUGGGAAUAGGCUUGUUCUUCCUUGCAGAACCAGAACAGUAGGAAUCCACAUUAUGACCUUGCUUGGUGCAGAUGAAGAGUACAGAAAACUGAGCAAAGAUCUCCUCCUUGGAGUUUUGUACAUGGAACUCAGAUUCCUUCCUUGGCCACCAGCAGGGAAUCUGUGUGAGAAGUGGAAUAAGCCAAUAAUUUGGUUUAGUGACAUUUUCUAUAGAAAAAUGUAUAUUUGGAUCUCCAAAAAGACGGAAAGGUCUGUUUUCAGAAGAAAAAAAUAAAUUAGUCAGGAUGUUUCAUUUCAACAUCUUAAAAUGCAAUGUUUGAUUAUGCAUUUCCAUAUGGUGUUUGACUACUAAACCGAAACCAAUGCCAUGUGAAAAUGAUACUAAUAAGAAAGCUCAAAACAAAGUGUAAAGGUUAUAGAAAAUACUUAAACAGCUGCCCAAAAUGAUCAUACUUUGUUUCUUUUUCUUUUUCCCCCUCCCCUUUUCUUUCAUGAGCUCUCACUAUUGGAACUGCUGCACUGUUCAGUAGACUGCUGGCAAGACCUGCAGAGGAGCAGGUUAGCUUUUUUAGCUUUUUAUCACCAUUAUUAGCUUUUUAUCAACACAGCUACUGAGACAGAGGAGUCAGGUACUUUCUAAUGGUAGUUUGUAUACAUCAGCUGCAAAUCCUUCACUGGUUUAGUUCACUGAACACAAAUCUACUAUAUGUUUCAUUUUCUCUUCAACUGUCAAUUCUGACUGUCAAAACAUUUCAGAAUUCAAGCAUUUUUUGCCUUUUCAGAAGUAUUGCUUUGUUUCUUGUUGUUCCAUUCAACUUACAGGAGGCUUUAAGUAAGGUCUUUAUUUUCCAACCAAAAUAAAACCCCAACAUAAUAUUCUUUUUAAGUGUGUGUUUCCCUUAAGCCAAAACUAUAAAAGGGUUUUUCAACCAUUCCUGAUUGCUUUGAAGCUCUGGUCCCUUGAGAUUUCUUGAAGAUGAACUUUCUAGUUGAGCAUUUGCUUCAGCUAUCAAAAGACCAAAUUUUAGCUGCCCACCCUCAGAAAAACUGAAACAAACAUGUAUUGAUUGUUCUGUCUUAAUGACAUUUGAACACAAGAAUGCAAACUAUAUAUUUUUUCUUUUUUUUUUAUUUUUUUAUUUUGAUGAACAGCCUGUGAGAUGCCCCAGUCUAUUAUGAAUAAGCCACUUGGUAGGCUGCCAUUUACAGCCUCUUGUUCCAAAGCUGACAACUUCUUGUUUGUUGUCUACCAUUUCUACUCCCCUAGUUGCUGUAUCUCCAUUCCUUUCUUUGUUUCCUGUUCUCUGGACAAGUUCUUGCCUGACCAGACUGAUUGAGAGUCCCUUCUCAUCAGGACUCUGAUUCCUGUGGAUAGGCAUGAUCAUGUAAAUAUCCUGCAGCUCUUAUCUCCAGGAUUUACAGCUCUACAUUACAAGGCUUCCUUGGCAGAAGGAAGUUGUCCAUAAAGCCAAGAAUCCGUCUUUAUCACUGCAGUGAUUAAAUAAAGUUGCUUCUAUCCAAAGCAUAUCAAGUUUUUGUCAUGAGAUUAUUAUUUCAAGUACUUUGGCAGGAAUUUUUCCACCGGUGAACAAGUCAUCCAAACCAGAGCAUUCUGUGAUGUGUCAGCUUAUACAGGGGUUUAGAAGUAAAGAGGUAAAUAAAAAAAAUUACUGUUCUAUAUUUGAUGCUGUGGAAAAAUUCUGCUUUAAGGUAUCAAAGCGCUGCACGUUUUCCAUGACCAAAUCACUUUGCCUUGACUUUUUGCUUCAAGCAAUACAUGCGUGUCUGAAAAAUAAACAAAAUCAUAGCAGAGUAAAUUGGGUUUUUUUCAGAAUUCUUUUGUCAUGGAGAGGGAAAAAGAGGUCACACUUUCCCUCUUUGUUGCAAUUUAAAGUGCAAGAAAGAUUCACAAUGUCAAACACACUGUACAACAGAAUUUCUAUUUUCUCAGGUAAUUCUGUGCCUUGCCUUCUUUUAUUACUCUAUGUCUUGGAAAAGAAAAUGAUCAGAGGGAAGCAGCAUACUUGGCUGAAAUGAUAGCUUGGUGUCAGUUGCUAUGGCCUGUAGUUUUUUUCCUGUGUUAAAAGAGUAGUCUCAAGUUCUGACCUCGUCUUGGAAGGGAGGCCGUUUCCUCUGAGCCAUGACAACAAAUGUAAUUUUUUUACAUUUUAAACUUUUCAUUAAGCAUGAAGUGAAUGUGUGCUUGUGUUAGUUUAACACAGCCUGAUAUUUAGUGGGGGGUGGGGGAAGCCACGGAGGCAACUUUUGAGAAAAAAAAUCCAAAACAAUAAACAACUGCUCGAAGCUUCUACUAUAUCUAGCAGAGCCAGUCCCUGAAGGCUCUGAAAAUGGACAUGUUGCUAGCUGUUCUUUACAAUUAAAGAAGUUGGUAGUGCCUCUGUGGCAACAUAUUUAAGUAGGAAAAAGCCACCUCCACGCUCUGCUCCUCUUUCUUGCCAGGGUGGGGAGGCAGCCGAUGGGGGCCCAUGUGGCCAGACAGCAAGGGGCAUAAUGAGCAAUUCUCCAGUGCGGAGCCCAGAUGGGAUCAAGUUUUCGGCCCUGUGAAACCCUGUAAGAACUUUUCAAUUGAUAGAACUUGAGAAAAAACAAACCUACGAACACCAGUUCUCUCCCGAGAAGGAGAAAAGGGAAAGGUGAAAACGCAUGAGGAGAGCAACAGAGCGACACUAAGUAAGUGCAUGGAGGGAUGCAGCAAGCCAUUAGGCAAUUGAACGCCUUCCCUGGGCUGUCCGAGUAUCCUUCUGCAGCAGGACUUCUGAAGGUGGAAGAGCAACGAGUGCAGAUUGCCACCUUGACAGUGCACCGCUGGCAGUAUCAGACAAAUCAAGAUCCGUGAUCCCCAUCCACAAAAUGAUCCGUGAGCUGGAGAGCCAAGGGGUGGUCAGCAAGACCCACUCACCCUUUAACAUUCCCAUCUGGCCUGUGCGCAAGUCUGACAAAGAAUGGAGAUUGACUGUGGACUACCGUGCACUGAAUGAAGUGACUCUACCACUGAGCACUGCCGUGCCAGACAUGUUAGAGCUCCAGUACGAGCUAGAGUCCAAGGCAGCAAAGUGGUACGCCGCUAUUGACAUUGCCAAUGCAUUUUUCUCCAUUCCUCUGGCAGCAGAAUGCAGGCCUCAGUUUGCUUUCACCUGGAGGGGAGUGCACUAUACCUGGAACCAAAUGCCUGCAUUCUCCACCAAAAUUGUCGUGUUUUAACAUUGGUCAAAGCCAGGCACCCACCAAAAAAAAAAAAAACAACUAUUUACUCAUUCUCCUCUACUCAACUACAGCAGAGGAGAAUGAGUAAAUAGGUUUUUUUCUUGAGUGCCUGGCUUUGGCCAGUGUCAAAUUAGGCUGUUACGGUAUUAUGCUCUUUACACACAGAUGUUUCUGAAAAGACCACGGUAGUUAGAUAAAAUCAGAAAGCUUAGGAACCCUCAUAACUUCCUAUUUCAGUUUUGAACUUGAUCUCCACUGCCUCACUUUGAUAAGAAACCUAAACAUGUGAUGAAGUCAUUUUCUAGGUAGGUGUAUUUGCUGAAUGAGAUUAGCAGAAUACCAGUACCUGAAAAUAAAUCUAUGUAAUCCACAAAAAAAUAGACAUAUAUCACCUUAGAAUGUGUUUGUUGGGUUUUUUUUUUUACCUCAGUGGAACUGUAAAAAGUAACUUGUAAUGUCACAUAGAUUAAAGGAUCCAGCCAGUUUGUUCCCUGUCUUUACUGGCAUGACAUUUCUUCUAUUGAUCCAUUCAGUGUCAGUGAAUCAACAGCGCCACAGUGUUGUGGGAACAAGGUUGCAUGCAGGUAGCAGUGCUGGAGAUUCAAUCCCCUUGCGUUGCACAAGCAAUCACAAGGAAUACAAUGCAGUGAGGAAACACAUCUUUCAGGGCAUCCACAGCCUAAUCCAUCACAUUGUUCUUUCAUCAGCUUCUCUCCAUGGGGCUCCUCAGACAUACAAUACCAUACAUUUUUCUGCUUCAUCCUUGUAUUGCCAGUUGAUCAUAUGUGUCAUGGUUCCCAUAAUCUUUUUUCUUCUGGUAUUUUUAAGACUUCCUCUCUUCAGCAACUGCCACAGCUUUCUGACAUUACUGUAGCUUUGCAUUUCUUGCCUCUCUCUGACUGCAAGUACUCUUCUUUUGUGUGUAAAUCAAUACAAUGGAGAAAAAAUGUUGCAUCUUCUAUUGAUUUUUCUCGCACUGGCAUUUUUUUUAUACCUCAUCUAUUAGACCUGCAUUAUUAUCCCACUGUCUUCAGGGUCUAUGGCAACUAGUCAGACCCCAAGGACUUAGUCUAACCCUCUAAUACUUCUUAUAGCUAGAACUGAUUAAAAAAAUAGUUUAUUAUUUUCUUCUUUUGAUUUUCAUAUCCUCCCCAUGUACAGUUCAUGCAAUUGAAACCCUUAACAAAAAGCAGAAGAGUUAACUAAGCUGUAAAAUGUCAGUGGAACACAUCAGCUGUGACCAUAUUAAACAGUCACAAAAUGGGUGACUGACUACUGGCCAGUAGAAAUAAGUAGCCUUAAUAGUAACCUUAAUAAAGUUCUUACAACUGAAUAUGAUGAGUAUUAGACAAGUGUGGCCAAAACAAAGGUUUUGAUUUAAGCUAAAGCACUGGAGAGUUAAGCUUAAUAGACUGAAAUAACUGGACUUUGACACUUCCAUUAGUGAAUGUGUGCUGAAUCCAAAUUAGUUCUUCUAAGCCUGAACAUCUCAUAUGAUGAGUUCACCUGAAUAGAAAUUAUGUGAUUGUAAAGAUGAUCUGUCAAUUUAACUCUUACUCAGGGCCUUCCUGUAUAAUCAGUCUUUGCUAAAAUUAGUGACAAAGUAAAUGAGAAAAUUCACUGUGUUUAGAGAAUCUUUGGGAAAUGCAAAUCUAGAGAGGAAAAUGGUCUGUGUUGACAGUCAAAGCAUUUCAGGAUUCAAUAACUUGAUGUUUAAUCAGUAACAUAUGUGAAUCUCUGUGAAACACAAACAAUGUUCCAUACGUCCUCAUAUGCCUUUUAAUUUUGCAUUGCUUUUCACUAAUUAGCUACUUGCCAUUUCUCACCUUUCUCCUUUUGUAAUAUUUAGUCUUGAAAUGACAGCAUUUAUCAGCCUGUUGAGGCACACAAACAGAGCAGAUCUCUAUUCUUGCACAUAAACACGAAUGCCUCUGUCCCAGCUCCCUCUUGAUGUGCCAGUAACAGUGAGUAAGAAUGAAAUCAUUUGCCCACUUUGAGACUCUUUGGCAUGGGGGGCCAUGUUUGGGUGAGCUGAGCUGGGGAGGUCUGGUAGAUGUUGCUUCAGGUUUGGCCAUUUGUGUGUUCCAUGUCAGCUUAAGCAACCACACAGAAACUUUGUUUUUCUAUUCCAUUUGUGUUGUUUCUCAGGUUUCCAAGCUGCCUGGGAAUGGUGGCAAAUUCCCUGCAGGGCUUUCCUCUACAAAUCAUCAUUUCUUUUGCUCCCACUCCAUCUCUGUCACAAUUAUACUUUGGACUAAACCUUUCACUUCAGAGAGUUCCCUGCUCAGAUAUCACAGCAGAAUAGUGAAAAACACUCAAAAAAUGGGUUAGGGCUCUGUGGUUAAGCACAUAUUUAAGCAACCCGCCUGAAAAACAGAUAUAGACCCCAAAGGUAUAUGAGAGAAUCAAAGCUAAUUAAUGCAGAAAUAGGGCAUAAAUAACCCACCUGCACAUUCAUUUGGUACUGUCUAUCCAUUCCAUGACUUUCUAAUCCAUCAGCAAGUUUCAACCUCAAGUAACAUGGGAGUAAAAGUCUCCUAUUGUUAGUUUUGAUUAAUUUCAUGGAAAUUGUUGGCUUCUUAGAGGAGAAUUAAAUUUUAUUAAGUCUUCAAGAGAGACUAAUUGUAGUAAGAAUCUCUACUAGGAAAUAAAGAAUCUACUCAGGAGAGUUUUCAAGGAAUUGACAUUAGAUUAAAUUGGUGCAUGUUUGGGUUUCUUUCCCCUUCAAUUUGAGAUGGUGAGAGACUCAACUGAAUUAAUCUUCUCCAUAUUUUUCUUUUCCACUUGGAGCUACCUCUGUUAUAAAAUUACUUCAUAAACUAACUUUAAAUGAGUAUACACUUGUGGAUAUGAGAUUUGCCUUUUGCUCCAUGUCAUAUGAGACUUCACUAUUGCUAGAAAAUUAAAUAAAAACUAGAAAUUGAACUCUG